rnacentral:rRNA from 1 species
GACGUAGGGCGCGAGCGUUGUCCGGAUUUAUUGGGCGUAAAGAGCUCGUAGGCGGCUUGUCGCGUCAACUGUGAAAACCCGUGGCUCAACCAUGUGGUCUGCAGUCGAUACGGGCAGGCUAGAAUUCGGUAGGGGAGACUGGAAUUCCUGGUGUAGCGGUGAAAUGCGCAGAUAUCAGGAGGAACACCGGUGGCGAAGGCGGGUCUCUGGGCCGAUAUUGACGCUGAGGAGCGAAAGCGUGGGAGCGAACAGG